rnacentral:rRNA from 1 species
AUUGAACGCUGGCGGCAGGCUUAACACAUGCAAGUCGAGCGGGGACUUCGGUCCUAGCGGCGAACGGGUGAGGAAUGCUUGGGAAUCUGCCCAGUAGCGGGGGAUAACGUUUCGAAAGGAACGCUAAUACCGCAUACGCCCUACGGGGGAAAGGGGGGGAUCUUCGGACCUCUCACUAUUGGAUGAGCCCAAGUCGGAUUAGCUAGUUGGUGGGGUAAAGGCCUACCAAGGCGACGAUCCGUAGCUGGUCUGAGAGGAUGAUCAGCCACACUGGAACUGAAACACGGUCCAGACUCCUACGGGAGGCAGCAGUGGGGAAUAUUGGACAAUGGGCGAAAGCCUGAUUCAGCCAUGCCGCGUGUGUGAAGAAGGCCUUCGGGUUGUAAAGCACUUUAAGCGAGGAGGAAUGGCUCUUGGCUAAUAACCUUGAGCAGUGACGUUACUCGCAGAAUAAGCACCGGCUAACUCUGUGCCAGCCGCCGCCGUAAUAC